CACUAAAAACUUUGUGCAAUACCCUCAUAAUCACAUGUGAUCUAGAUUGUAACCUGCAUGUACUCAUAGAAUUGCUCAUGAUGUCACUGUUUUGAAAUACAGUAGAAAACAAAAGAAAAAUAGCCCUACGAUCAAGGUCCUGGAUCACUAUGAAGAUGCAUAUAAGGUUAGAUCGGAUCUUUACCAACUUCGAGAUGCAGAGGAAGAAGAGUUGGUGUAGGUUGUUCUUGAUGUCCCUUGAACAGUCCACAACAACCCCUCGAACAAAAUAUCAAAAGCACAACCUCUAUAGAUUGCAAGCA
rnacentral:lncRNA from 1 species